AAGUCGUAACAAGGUUUCCGUAGGUGAACCUGCGGAAGGAUCAUUACAUUCAGUAGCCUAGCUACUUGUUUACACCCUUGUUUUUGCGUACCUAUUGUUUCCUCGGCGGGCUUGCUCGCCGGUUGGACAAAACUAUAACCUUUUUUAAAUCUUCAAUCAGCGUCUGAAUUAUACAUAAUAAUUACAACUUUCAACAACGGAUCUCUUGGUUCUG
rnacentral:misc_RNA from 2 species